AUUGCUCUAUCUCUAAAGUUUUCUUUUUCUCCUUUUCUCAGUGUCUUACCAAGAAUGAAAGGCAACCUAUGUAAAAACUAUGGGCUUUCUAGUAUAAAUAAAAACUACUCAUCUCCAGAAAAUAAACAAUGACUGCUAAGAUGAUUGAAAAAAGAAAGGAGAAGAAAGUAGCUUGUAAAAGCGUGUGAAAUGCAUUCACGUUGGAAUCUCCUACAGGCACUUCAGAAGACGAAGUGCUCCUGAUGGCUGCUUUCAAUCACUGGAAGAACCAUGAAAGUGCGAGAGAUUCCUCCCGGUGAAUGAAGCCAGCUCACCACCGUCAAGGGCAAGGGAUCAGCGUGUGUUCACAUGGAGGCCUCUCACCGAGGGAACCCAAGGGGGACAGCACAGGAAUUGCAGAGCCAGCACCCAUGGAAUGGGCAGGGAUUUGGGUUUCAUCCAACCAGCCAGUUGAUCAAUAAUCACUGAAUGUCUGUCACCCAUUGCAUCCUCUCCUGAGUAGUGAGGCUAGGCCAGUGCCAGUCACCUGGAAAUCCUUACUGUUCUGCAGUUGACAUUUUGAGAGGCAAGUCAAACAAUAUAUAUAAACAACUAGAAUGUCUAGUGUGUUUCAGGAGGUAAAUGCCGUGCCGGGAUGAGCAGAAGGAGGAUGGAGCCGUUGCUGGGCAGAUAGACUGAUUUUAGAUAAAGCCGUCUGGGUGCAGGAAAGAAGACCUUAAAGAGGGAAUGACAUUUGAGCAAAGUCUUCAACAAACUGAACCCAGGAAGAAAACAUUCCGAAAGUCAGAGAAAAGAGGAAGUACGAAGGGCCAGAGCCAGGGAGGACAUUGGCGGAGAUGCAGCCGCAGAAGCGUCAGGGGCCCUGCAGCCGCGAUGCAAACAGAGAAGUGGGCGCAUGGAGCAUACGGGGCAGAGAACCAGCACCAUCUGAAUACACUGCUUAGGCUGUUGGGGCCAUGGCUUCUCUCGAUACCAAAUAGGAGGCUGUGGACAUCAUCUUGGCAGGAAACGACAGUGGCUAGGACCACAGUAGUCACCGUAGAGAUGGAGAGAAGUGGCCAGAUCAUAGAUACAUUUUGAAGAUUAAGCGGACAGAAUUUGCUAUGGAUUAGAUGUGGGUGAAACAGAGAGAGAGAGAGAGGAUAGCUCCAACAUGUGCUGUCUGAGCAGCUAAAGGGGUGGAGCAGGAUGAAUAAAGUAAAGAAAAGAUUGAAAUGGAGACGAAGGGCCACUGUAAGUGAGACAUCCAGACGCAGCCCAAUACUCCCAGGGGAGCUUGCUUACGGCAGAUUCCAGUCACAAGAAGCACCAAAAAUGUCUCCUCUUUCAUUUAUACAUGACGCAAAAUCAAGAGGAUAAGCUGCUCCAAUUUGAAAGCCACACGUUCCUUUAAGGGCAGGGCUGGGCGAAUGGGUUCAACCCUGACUGCUCUCCACCGUCCAUGCAGGACCACAGCCUAGGGUGAAGGGGGCCCUUCUCUGGGUGUUGCUGGGAGGGAGAAAUAUUCCUGAGAUGAGCUUAAGACACAGCACUUCUCCCCUGUGGUGUGAGAGCCACUGUGCCUACAAGGACACUCACAGAAGCUGUCAUUUGGGAUUCGCUGCCAAGAGCAGAGCACGGCUGUUGAUGCGUCGAAACUGAAAAGCCUUCUUCAGCUGGGUGGGCAAGACGGCUGUCUAUGGAGACCCUCCUGAGUACAGAUGCACCUGCUUUUAGCCUCACAUAGACGGGGGCUCUUUAGGACUGUGGGCUGACCCUGAGAAGAAGCCCCAUGGAAGCCUGCUUAUCUCCAAAUCCCCCGUCCUUUCUCCUGAAAGACAGUCUCAGUGAGUGAAGUUCUAGCAUUAUAGAUUUGUUCCUUUGUAAGUCUGACAGGAUUUAUGGUUUGCAAACAUUUUUUAUGAGAAUGAAAAUUACUUUGGGAAAAGUCAUUCAUUUACCACCCUUACUA
rnacentral:lncRNA from 1 species